UGGAGUAUGGGAACGGGGGAGUAACACUGAGUACCUGCGCUUGUGUCUGGGGUAACCUGGGAAACUGGGUCUAAUACCGGAAUGACCUUCCCUCCAGGGGGGUGGGGGAAACUUUUGUGGGUUUGGAUGGGCUCCGCCUAUCCCUUGUGGGUGAGGUAAUGGGUUAUAGCGACAACAGGGACCGCCUGAGAGGGUGAGAGGCCACUGGGACUGAGACACGSCCCCACACCCACGGAGGCGCUGGGGAAUAUUGCGCAUGGGCGCCCUGAGGCCCGACCCCCGUGAGGGAUGACAGCCUUCUGGUUGUAAACCUCUUUCUUAGGAAAAAACGAAAGUGAGAGUACCUGCGAAAAAACGCCGCUAACUACUGCCCCCACCCCGGUAAUACAUAGGGGCAGCGUUAUCCCGAAUUAUUGUGCGUAAAAGAUCUCAGCGGUUUGUCCGUCUGCCCGAAAUCCGGGCUCACUCUCGAUCU
rnacentral:rRNA from 1 species